rnacentral:rRNA from 1 species
GAGGAAAAGAAACUAACAAGGAUUCCCCUAGUAACGGCGAGUGAAGCGGGAAGAGCUCAAAUUUGAAAUCUGGUAGCCUUCGGCUGCCCGAGUUGUAAUCUAGAGAAGUGUUUUCCGUGCCGGCCCAUGUACAAGUCCCUUGGAACAGGGCGUCAUAGAGGGUGAGAAUCCCGUCCUUGACAUGGACCCCCGGUGCUUUGUGAUACACUUUCAACGAGUCGAGUUGUUUGGGAAUGCAGCUCAAAAUGGGUGGUGAAUUCCAUCUAAAGCUAAAUAUUGGCGAGAGACCGAUAGCGAACAAGUACCGUGAGGGAAAGAUGAAAAGCACUUUGGAAAGAGAGUUAAACAGUACGUGAAAUUGUUGAAAGGGAAACGAUUGAAGUCAGUCAUGCUCUUUGGAUUCAGCCGUUCUGCGGUGUAUUUCCAUUGAGUGGGGUCAACAUCAGUUUUGACCGCUGGAUAAAGGCACUAGGAAGGUAGCACUCUCGGGUGAACUUAUAGCCUAGCGUCAUAUACAGUGGUUGGGACUGAGGAACGCAGCAUGCCUUUAUGGCCGGGAUUCGUCCACGUACAUGCUUAGGAUGUUGACAUAAUGGCUUUAAACGACCCGUCU